rnacentral:rRNA from 1 species
CUUUACUGCAACUUGACGUUGGAACUUGGCUGUAUUUGUGUAGGAUAGGUGGGAGACUUUGAAGCAGGGCCGCCAGGUCUUGCGGAGUCGUCGUUGAAGUACCACCCUGGUGCUGACGAGUUUCUAGCCGUGUCCGUAAGCCGGACAUGAGACAGCGUCUGGUGGGCAGUUUGACUGGGGCGGUCGCCUCCUAAAAGGUAACGGAGGCAUUCAAAGGUCCCCUCAGCGUGGUCGGUAAUCACGCGCAGAGUGCAAACGCAUAAGGGGGCUUAACUGCGAGACCGACAGGUCGAGCAGGUACGAAAGUAGGAGUUAGUGAUCCCGCGGUUUAGCGUGGAAUUGCCGUUGCUCAAUGGAUAAGAGGUA